UCGUGAUCUCAUCAUCGACAUCAUCGAAACUCCUUUCGAUGGACCAGAACUCUUCUGAUUCAGACAAUUAGAAUGAUCGAUCAUCGAGAUCAUUCUAAUUGCUUCCAAAAUCCACCAGUGACACCUAGCAGUAUAUGGUGGCAACCCAUCAGAAAUGAAGAUGAACCUUUCGGUGCAGCUACCUGUGUGAUUGAGUUCCUCUAUCAUGAGUCCCGACUGAAUUAGGGUUAAGGUGAACUCGUCAAACCCAACAUCAGUCAUAUGAAUCAAUCGAUCGAUCCGAGUCCGAUGUGAAACCCCAAUGAAAAACUCUUUUCCAUUAUUUCACUCU
rnacentral:lncRNA from 1 species